rnacentral:rRNA from 1 species
GGAUUCUCCUAGUAACGGCGAGUGAAGAGAGAUGAGCCCAGCACCGAAUCUCCUGCCUUUUGGGUAGCGAGAACUGUGGUGUUUAGGACAGCCUCUGGGGUGACGAUCAGACUUCCGAGUCCUCCUGAUCGGGGCCUUUCCCAUAGCGGGUGUCAGGCCUCUACCGUCGUCUGUCGUCCUCCCUCUGAGCGUCCUUGGAGUCGGGUUGUUUGGGAAUGCAGCCCUAAGUGGGUGGUAAACUCCAUCUAAGGCUAAAUACUGACACGAGUCCGAUAGCGGACAAGUACCGUGAGGGAAAGUUGAAAAGAACUUUGAAGAGAGAGUUCAACAGUACGUGAAACCGUUUAGAGGCAAACGGAUGGGACCGCAAAGUCGGCCCGCGGAAUUCAACCUGGCGAGCGUCGGUGGGGCGGGAUACCGGAUCCGUACGGACCGGCCUCGUUUCCAGCCGGCGUCGACGGGCGCACUUUCUGCGGGGCGAGCGCAACGACCGGUUUUUCGGCAGUCAGAAGCCCCGGUGGAAGGUAGCUUGCCCUUCGGGGUGAGUGUUAUAGACUCCGGUGGCGUUGGCCUGCUGGGAGACCGAGGAACUCCCGCCGUGCCCGCCCUAAGGCUCGGGCCCUUCGUCUUCUCCGUGCGUUCGACAGGGCAGGACUGUUUACAGUGCUGUCCGACUGCGGGCGGUUAAGGCGGGGUGUGCUCCCGAGAUGGCACCCAGGGUCAGUUGCGAAUCGGUCGGCACCCUAUCCGACCCGUCUUGAAACACGGACCAAGGAGUCUAACAUGUGCGCGAGUCAUGGGGUUCUACGAAACCUAAAGGCGCAAUGAAAGUGAAGGGCCGCUUCUCGGUGACCCUAGGUAGGAUCUCGUCCCCCGGGGCGAGCGCACUACCGGCCCGUCUCGUGCUCUCGCAGCAGAGGCGGAGCAAGAGCGUACACGUUGGGACCCGAAAGAUGGUGAACUAUGCCUGAGUAGGA